rnacentral:misc_RNA from 1 species
GUGAAUCAUCAAAUUUUUGAACGCAAAUUGCACUCUCUUCGGAGAGUAUGUCUGUUUGAGGGUCAGCCUAAAAAAAAUCGACAUAGUCGCUGUUUUGCGGUGACAUUUGUCGGAAAUUGGGUUAUCUUAAAACCUUGGGUUUUUAGGGGCCUAAAAAUUUCUUUACGAUUCCACGAAAGUUUUUAAGAUUUUCCUUCUUACAGUUUAAGGGAA